ACCUACUUAACUCAGUGGUUAGAGUAUGCUUUCAUACGCGGGAGUCAUGGUUCAAAUCCAAUAGUAGGUA
rnacentral:tRNA from 1 species